rnacentral:rRNA from 1 species
GACGAACGCUGGCGGCGUGCCUAACACAUGCAAGUCGAGCGAGUGGAGUUCUUCGGAACAAAGCUAGCGGCGGACGGGUGAGUAACACGUGGGCAACCUGCCUCAUAGAGGGGAAUAGCCUUCCGAAAGGGAGAUUAAUACCGCAUAAGAUUGUAGCUUCGCAUGAAGUAGCAAUGAAAGGAGCAAUCCGCUAUGAGAGGGGCCCGCGGCGCAUUAGCUAGUUGGUGAGGUAACGGCUCACCAAGGCGACGAUGCGUAGCCGACCUGAGAGGGUGAUCGGCCACAUUGGGACUGAGACACGGCCCAGACUCCUACGGGAGGCAGCAGUGGGGAAUAUUGCACAAUGGGGGAAACCCUGAUGCAGCAACGCCGCGUGAGUGAUGACGGCCUUCGGGUUGUAAAGCUCUGUCUUCAGGGACGAUAAUGACGGUACCUGAGGAGGAAGCCACGGCUAACUACGUGCCAGCCGCCGCAGUAAAAC